UACGUAGGGAGCAAGCGUUGUCCGGAAUCAUUGGGCGUAAAGCGCGCGUAGGCGGCCCGAUAAGUCCGCUGUGAAAGUCCAGGGCUCAACCCUGGAAUGCCAGUGGAAACUGUCGGGCUAGAGUCCGGAAGAGGCGAGUGGAAUUCCUGGUGUAGCGGUGAAAUGCGCAGGUAUCAGGAGGAACACCGAUGGCGAAGGCAGCUCGCUGGGACGGUACUGACGCUGAGACGCGAAAGCGUGGGGAGCAAACAGG
rnacentral:rRNA from 1 species